GUGGGGAAUAUUGGACAAUGGGCGAAAGCCUGAUCCAGCCAUGCCGCGUGUGUGAAGAAGGUCUUCGGAUUGUAAAGCACUUUAAGUUGGGAGGAAGGGCAGUAAGUUAAUACCUUGCUGUUUUGACGUUACCGACAGAAUAAGCACCGGCUAACUUCGUGCCAGCAGCCGCGGUAAUACGAAGGGUGCAAGCGUUAAUCGGAAUUACUGGGCGUAAAGCGCGCGUAGGUGGUUUUGUAAGUUGGAGGUGAAAUCCCCGGGCUCAACCUGGGAACUGCCUCCAAAACUGCAUGACUAGAGUACGGUAGAGGGUAGUGGAAGUUCCUAUGUAGCGGUGAAAUGCGUAGAUAUAGGAAGGAACACCAGUGGCGAAGGCGACUACCUGGACUGAUACUGACACUGAGGUGCGAAAGCGUGGGGAGCAAACAGGAUUAGAUACCCCGGUAGUCC
rnacentral:rRNA from 1 species